CGCAGCGGGGAUAGCACGUUGAAUGCAACAGUUUCCAAUAGACUGAUUUGUUUCUAAUGAAUUUAUGGAUCACUGAUGUUAAGCAACGCUGCACGUGGUUGAUAUGUUCGGAUGGGUGAUCAUCUGGACAACCGCGUGCUGCUGGCU
rnacentral:rRNA from 1 species